rnacentral:pre_miRNA from 1 species
UGGUGUGAGAGGUUGAAGCUGCCAGCAUGAUCUGGUCAUGGAUCCAGGGUUGUCCAUUCAUGGCUCAGAAGCUACCAUGAGCAUCUACAGUGGGUAAUUGAAGAACAGGAUGAUAGGUGUAGGAAGAUCAGCUGUAGAGACUAGUGAGUGCUACAUUCUUUGAAAUCACCAUCUCCCACCAACAAGGCACAAGGAUCAACACCAUAGGAAUCAUUAAACAUACCAAAAGCUCUAAAGAUGUACCCCCUCUAUGCCCACAGAGAGAGAGAGAGAGAGAGAGAGAGAGAGAGAGAGAGAGAGAGGAGAAGACUUCUUUUGGGUUUGACUCCAUCAGAUCAUCUGGCAGUUUCAAUCACUCACUCA